GUCGAGAAUCAUUCACAAUGGGGGAAACCCUGAUGGUGUGACGCCGCGUGGAGGAUGAAGGUCUUCGGAUUGUAAACUCCUGUCAUGUGGGAGUAAAGCCGGGUGUUAAAUGCAUGCCGGUCUGAGAGUACCACAAGAGGAAGGGACGGCUAACUCUGUGCCAGCAGCCGCGGUAAUACAGAGGUCCCAAGCGUUGUUCGGAAUCACUGGGCGUAAAGGGUGCGUAGGCGGCGCGGAAAGUCAGGGGUGAAAUCCCGGAGCUCAACUCCGGAACUGCCUUUGAGACGCCCGCGCUUGAGAACUGGAGGGGAGACCGGAAUUCACGGUGGAGCAGUGAAAUGCGUGGAUAUCGUGAGGAACACUAGUGGCGAAGGCGGGUCUCUGGACAGUAUCUGACGCUGAGGCACGAAGGCCAGGGGAGCGAACGGGAUUAGAAACCCGUGUAGUCC
rnacentral:rRNA from 1 species